GUAGUAUUCCCUCCGUCCCAAAAUUCUUGUCUUACAUUUGUUUAGAUACAGAUGUAUCUAACACUAAAAUGUAACUAGAUACAUUCAUAUUUAGAAAAAUUUAAGACAAGAUUUUUGGGAUGGAGGGAGUACAAA
rnacentral:pre_miRNA from 1 species